rnacentral:rRNA from 1 species
GACGAACGCUGGCGGCGUGCUUAACACAUGCAAGUCGAACGGGCCUGUCUUCUUUUUUGGGGGUGGGUUGAGUGGCGAACGGGUGAGUAUCACGUGAGUAACCUGCCCUUCGGUCCUGGAUAACCGCUUGAAAGGGCGGCUAAUACGGGGUGGUCCGGUUGGUCCGCAUGGGCUGGUCGGGAUAGAUUCACUGUUUUUGGUGUUUCGGCGGGGGAUGGGCUCGCGGCCUAUCAGCUUGUUGGUGGGGUGAUGGCCUACCAAGGCGGUGACGGGUAGCCGGCCUGAGAGGGUGGGCGGCCACACUGGGACUGAGAUACGGCCCAGACUCCUGCGGGAGGCAGCAGUGGGGGGUAUUGCACAAUGGGCGGAAGCCUGAUGCAGCGACGUCGCGUGAGGGAUGGAGGCCUUCGGGUUGUGAACCUCUGUUUCCGGUGGUGAAGGCCCUGUCCGUGUGGUGGGGUUGACGGUAGCCGGGGAUGAAGCGCCGGCUAACUACGU